AGCAGCCGCGGUAAUUCCAGCUCCAAUAGCGUAUAUUAAAGUUGUUGCAGUUAAAAAGCUCGUAGUUGAAUUUCGGGAUCAAUACGUCGGUCGUGCUUCGGUACGUACUGGCGUAAUUGAUUUCUCCCUUCUGACGAACCAUGAUGUCAUUAACUUGGUGUCAUGGGAAAUCAGGACUGUUACUUUGAAAAAAUUAGAGUGUUUAAAGCAGGCUCACGCUUGAAUACAUUAGCAUGGAAUAAUGAAAUAGGACGUUCGAUCCUAUUUUGUUGGUUUCUAGGAUUGACGUAAUGAUUAAUAGGGAUAGGUUGGGGGCAUUAGUAUUCAAUUGUCAGAGGUGAAAUUCUUGGAUUUAUUGAAGACU
rnacentral:rRNA from 1 species